AAAAUUUUAUUUUAAUUUAAAAUUUUUUAUUUACAUUAAAAAGAUUAAGAUAUAGAUCUUGAAAUUUUA
rnacentral:tRNA from 1 species